UACGUAGGGUCCGAGCGUUGUCCGGAAUUAUUGGGCGUAAAGAGCUCGUAGGCGGUUUGUCGCGUCUGCUGUGAAAUCCCGAGGCUCAACCUCGGGUCUGCAGUGGGUACGGGCAGACUGGAGUGCGGUAGGGGAGAAUGGAAUUCCUGGUGUAGCGGUGGAAUGCGCAGAUAUCAGGAGGAACACCGAUGGCGAAGGCAGUUCUCUGGGCCGUAACUGACGCUGGAGGAGCGAAAGCGUGGGGAGCGAACAGG
rnacentral:rRNA from 1 species